GGGGAAAUAGCUCGGUUGGUUAGAGUGCUGGUCUGUCACGCCAGAAGUCGCGGGUUCGAACCCCGUUUUCCCCG
rfam:Triticum aestivum genome assembly, contig: Triticum_aestivum_CS42_TGACv1_scaffold_433059_5DL